GCUCCGCAGGGCGCAGCUUUAUACGACCGCAGAGGUCGAACCCUGAACAGUUGGGGCAAGUAUGGACACAACAUUUAAGCUUGAUACAGCUCUGAAUUUGGAUUGUGAUCAAAUAGUUGACACAACAUAGGUUUCUGAAUUAGAAUGAAUGUGGUCUAAGAACUUAAACUUAAAAACUUAAAAAAUUUAAAUUGGACAUUUACCUAUCAUGGUCCAAUAUCCAAAAUCUAAAUACAUGGUUAGAUUCAGCAUAUCAUAGAACCCC
rnacentral:lncRNA from 1 species